AGCCUCCAACCCAUCCCCACAGCAGCACUCGUACCUCCAGAAAAACUCCUUUAUUUCCAUCCAGUUUCACCACUGGUACAGAAAAUACAAAACAAGAAAAACAAAAACAAAAACAAGGCUUUUUUGUGCCCCCCACCCCCCAUCCCUAAAGCGUGCCGACUAUUUACAGGCAGAGGUGAGCGGCUCAGUGGCAGCAGCUGCACUUGCUGCUGGUCGGCUCCUUGCACACGCAGCCCUUGGCACAGUUGCUGCAGCUUGCGGGGCAGCAGGAGCAGCAACCUGGGGAGGACACAAGAGUUAGGAGGUUCCCACAGACUUCAAACUCACCUGCUUCAACUACUCACCGCCUUCCCUGGCUGAAACGUGACCCAAAGUUUCCAAGUAUCGUUACCUUGGGCAUAUUUAAUUAUUGUAUUCCCCUUUAGUUGCUAAUUAGAAGCCAAGAGUAGAGGGGAUGACUAAUUCCCUGGGAUGUCAAGUACACACUUGCCUGAGCUUGCAAAGAAAACAUCGGCCCCCUCAGUAUAAAGGUGUGAAAUAAAAGGAUGUGAUAUUUUC